rnacentral:rRNA from 1 species
GACGAACGCUGGCGGCGUGCCUAAUACAUGCAAGUUGAGCGAUGAAGAUUGGUGCUUGCCCCAAUUUGAAGAGCAGCGAACGGGUGAGUAACGCGUGGGGAAUCUGCCUUUGAGCGGGGGACAACAUUUGGAAACGAAUGCUAAUACCGCAUAACAACUUUAAACAUAAGUUUUAAGUUUGAAAGAUGCAAUUGCAUCACUCAAAGAUGAUCCCGCGUUGUAUUAGCUAGUUGGUGAGGUAAAGGCUCACCAAGGCGAUGAUACAUAGCCGACCUGAGAGGGUGAUCGGCCACAUUGGGACUGAGACACGGCCCAAACUCCUACGGGAGGCAGCAGUAGGGAAUCUUCGGCAAUGGACGAAAGUCUGACCGAGCAACGCCGCGUGAGUGAAGAAGGUUUUCAGAUCGUAAAACUCUGUUGGUAGAGAAGAACGUUGGUGAGAGUGGAAAGCUCAUCAAGUGACGGUAACUACCCAGAAAGGGACGGCUAACUACGUG